GCUAUCCUGUGAAUCCUUGCAUCAAUAUUUAUAGCUGUCACACUCAAAUAAUGUAAACCGGAUUGUAUGCAAUAAUCAAGAAAAUCAAGCAUAAAUUCCUCCUUAUUAUGUUAUUACUACUUAGUUCAGUUUGUUAAUAAUAGUGACAAGUGUAAAUUAAAAAUUUAUAACACCCCCGA